rnacentral:rRNA from 1 species
AAUAAUUGCUGGAAACGGCUUGUAANGCUCUAUAUGCCUNUAUUACAUAAGUAAGCAAGGGAAACAUUUAUGGCUUCGGGAUGAGACUGUACGGUAUCAGCUAGUUGGUGAGGUAAUGGCUCACCAAGGCAAUGACAUCUAACUGGUUUGAGAGGAUGAUCAGUCACACUGGAACUGAGACACGGUCCAGACUCCUACGGGAGGCAGCAGUGGGGAAUAUUGUACAAUGGAGGAAACUCUGAUGCAGCAACGCCGCGUGGAGGAUGACACAUUUCGGUGCGUAAACUCCUUUUAUUAGGGAAGAUAAUGACGGUACCUAAUGAAUAAGCACCGGCUAACUUCGUGCCAGCAGCCGCGGCAAUACGAGGGGUGCAAGCGUUACUCGGAAUCACUGGCCGUCGAG